rnacentral:rRNA from 1 species
GGGGGGGGGGGGGGGGGGGGCGGGGGGGGGGGGGGGGGGGGAGCGGAGGGGGGGCGGGCUCCGCGGACGGUAGCGGCGGACGGGGGAGGAACACGUGGGUCACCUGCCUAUAAGACUGGGAUAACUUCGGGAAACCGGAGCUAAUACCGGAUAACAUGUUGAACCGCCUGGUUUAACAGUGACAGACGGUCUUGCUGGCGGUUGGGGAUGGACUCGCGGCUCAUUAGCUUGUUGGUGGGGUGACGGCUUACCAAGGCUUUGACGGGUAGCCGGCCUGAGAGGGUGACCGGCCACAUUGGGACUGAGAUACGGCCCAGACUCCUACGGGAGGCAGCAGUGGGGAAUAUUGCACAAUGGGCGGAAGCCUGAUGCAGCAACGCCGCGUGCGGGAUGACGGCCUUCGGGUUGUAAACCGCUUUCGCCUGUGACGAAGCGUGAGUGACGGUAAUGGGUAAAGAAGCACCGGCUAACUACGUG